rnacentral:SRP_RNA from 12 species
GCUGUUCAUAUUCGAAUGCCCGCCAUGGUGUCCUGCCUCGUCGCGGCGUUCAUGCUGUUGGCGUUGGGCAGAGGAAGUGACAUCAGUGCGUGCGCGACAGGCCAGAGCUCGUGCGGCCCCCAGGCUUCAGGGGAGCAACCCAGCGGAGUGGCUGGGGGAAGCUUACCUCUGGAGGAUGUCGAGGAGUCCGAGAUGGCG